rnacentral:rRNA from 1 species
AGAGAGAGACAUGCGCGCAUAUCAAUAAGCGGAGGAAAAGAAACUAACUAGGAUUCCCUCAGUAACGGCGAGUGAAGCGGGAAGAGCUCAAAUUUGAAAUCUUCAAGGUUUUACCUUGACGAAUUGUAGUUUAAAGAAGUGUUUUCUGUUGGAGUUUCGGUAAAAGUUCUUUGGAAUAGGACAUCAUAGAGGGUGAGAAUCCCGUAUUUGACCAUUAUUUCCAGCUUUGUGAUACACUUUCAAAGAGUCGGAUUGUUUGGGAAUGCAGUCCAAAAUGGGUGGUAAAUUUCAUCUAAAGCUAAAUAUUGGCGAGAGACCGAUAGCGAACAAGUACCGUGAGGGAAAGAUGAAAAGAACUUUGAAAAGAGAGUUAAACAGUACGUGAAAUUGUCAAAAGGGAAGCGUUUGACACCAGUGUUGUUUUUCUGAAAAUCAAUUAAAGAACUGUUUAUGCUAAGUUGUUUAGACUUUAUCAGCUAUCUGUUUAGUUUUGAGCUUUUCUUUAAUGCACUUUUCAGUUAACAAGUCAACAUCAAUUUCUUUUGCUGUAAAAAAGCUUGAGGAAGGUGGCUUGAGAUUCGUCUUAAGUGUUUAUAGCCUCUUGCCUAUGCAGUCGGAGAGAUUGAGGUCUGCAGCGUAGAUCCUUCGGGGCUAAAUGCAUUUGUGCUAAGUUAUAGCAUUUUAUAGACAACUUGUUGACUAUGAUAUGUCUUGUAGCUUACUCGCUUAUGUUAUUUUACCUACGCUUAGGAUGUUGAGCGCAUGUCUCUCUCU